rnacentral:rRNA from 1 species
UCGGGAAUUUUGGGCAAUGGGCGAAAGCCUGACCCAGCAACGCCGCGUGAGGGAUGAAGUAUUUCGGUAUGUAAACCUCGAAAGAAUGGGAAGAAUAAAUGACGGUACCAUUUAUAAGCUCCGGCUAACUAUGUGCCAGCAGCCGCGGUAAUACGUAGGGAGCAAGCGUUGUUCGGAUUUACUGGGCGUAAAGGGCGCGUAGGCGGCGCGGUAAGUCACUUGUGAAAUCUCUGAGCUUAACUCAGAACGGCCAAGUGAUACUGCUGUGCUAGGGUGCGGAAGAGGCAACCGGAAUUCUUGGUGUAGCGGUGAAAUGCGUAGAUAUCAAGAGGAACACCUGAGGCGAAGGCGGGUUGCUGGGCCGACACUGACGCUGAUGCGCGAAAGCCAGGGGAGCAAACG